GGGAGCGGAUGGGUCCUGGUGGGCCUCCCGGUCUUCAAAACCGGCCGCCGGGCUCAUAAAGGUCCGGGGUGGGUUCGAUUCCCACACGCUCCCGCCA
rnacentral:tRNA from 1 species